rnacentral:rRNA from 1 species
CCUACGGGAGGCAGCAGUGGGGAAUAUUGCACAAUGGGGGAAACCCUGAUGCAGCGACGCCGCGUGAGUGAAGAAGUAAUUCGUUACGUAAAGCUCUAUCAGCAGGGAAGAAAUACUGACCUUCCGGUCAGCAGACCGUACCUGAGUAAGAAGCCCCGGCUAACUACGUGCCAGCAGCCGCGGUAAUACGUAGGGGGCAAGCGUUAUCCGGAUUUACUGGGUGUAAAGGGAGCGUAGACGGUAUGGCAAGUCUGAAGUGAAAGCCAAGGGCUUAACCCUGGGACUGCUUUGGAAACUGUUAGACUAGAGUGCUGGAGAGGUAAGUGGAAUUCCUAGUGUAGCGGUGAAAUGCGUAGAUAUUAGGAGGAACACCAGUGGCGAAGGCGGCUUACUGGACAGUAACUGACGUUGAGGCUCGAAAGCGUGGGGAGCAAACAGGAUUAGAUACCCGAGUAGUC